CUCUUCCCUCCUUGUCUGUCUUCUUUCAGGUGUGUUUGUUUGGGAACUCUGAGGUGUCCUUGAGAGAUUUCUUGCGCUCAGGAUCAUCAGAGGAAGAGCUUCUGCAGAUCAUCGGAGCAGCAGUGGGCAGGAAGAAGAAACAACAUGCAGGAAUGUUCAAUAUCUCCAAGAUGAAGAACCGGCCUAUGAUCCUCAUUGGUGGGUGACAUGGCUGUACCAGAUUCCAACCGCCUAUGUCACAAGACAGCCAGAGAGAUUUCCCCAUUGUUUCCCAGCUUCCAAACAACACAGUCCUCUCUGCAGACACAGCUCCUCAUAUGUGCGCUUCAGGCAGCAGGAGAGUCCAAAUGAGAGAAAUGGAUUUAUUGUGCCUUCCACACUGCACUCGUUCAAUACAAG